rnacentral:rRNA from 1 species
CUUGACAUCCAGCGAACUUUCCAGAGAUGGAUUGGUGCCUUCGGGAACGCUGAGACAGGUGCUGCAUGGCUGUCGUCAGCUCGUGUUGUGAAAUGUUGGGUUAAGUCCCGCAACGAGCGCAACCCUUAUCCUUUGUUGCCAGCGAUUCGGUCGGGAACUCAAAGGAGACUGCCGGUGAUAAACCGGAGGAAGGUGGGGAUGACGUCAAGUCAUCAUGGCCCUUACGAGUAGGGCUACACACGUGCUACAAUGGCGCAUACAAAGAGAAGCGACCUCGCGAGAGCAAGCGGACCUCAUAAAGUGCGUCGUAGUCCGGAUCGGAGUCUGCAACUCGACUCCGUGAAGUCGGAAUCGCUAGUAAUCGUGGAUCAGAAUGCCACGGUGAAUACGUUCCCGGGCCUUGUACACACCGCCCGUCACACCAUGGGAGUGGGUUGCAAAAGAAGUAGGUAGCUUAACCUUCGGGAGGGCGCUUACCACUUUGUGAUUCAUGACUGGGGUGAAGUCGUAACAAGGUAAGCGUAGCGAG